UAAAAGCAGUCUCAGUUCGGAUCGCAGGCUGCAACUCGCCUGCGUGAAGUUGGAAUCGCUAGUAAUCGCGGGUCAGCAUACCGCGGUGAAUACGUUCCCGGGCCUUGUACACACCGCCCGUCAAGCCAUGGGAGCCGGGGGCGCCUGAAGUCCGGGACCGCGAGGACCGGCCUAGGGCGAAACUGGUAACUGGGGCUAAGUCGUAACAAGGUAAC
rnacentral:rRNA from 1 species